CCUACGGGGUGCAGCAGUGGGGAAUAUUGGACAAUGGGCGAAAGCCUGAUCCAGCCAUGCCGCGUGUGUGAAGAAGGCCUUCGGGUUGUAAAGCACUUUCAGUGGGGAAGAAAGCCUUGGGGCUAAUACCCUCGAGGAAGGACAUCACCCACAGAAGAAGCACCGGCUAACUCCGUGCCAGCAGCCGCGGUAAUACGGAGGGUGCGAGCGUUAAUCGGAAUUACUGGGCGUAAAGCGCGCGUAGGCGGUCUGAUAAGCCGGUUGUGAAAGCCCCGGGCUCAACCUGGGAACGGCAUCCGGAACUGUCAGGCUAGAGUGCAGGAGAGGAAGGUAGAAUUCCCGGUGUAGCGGUGAAAUGCGUAGAGAUCGGGAAGAAUACCAGUGGCGAAGGCGGCCUUCUGGACUGACACUGACGCUGAGGUGCGAAAGCGUGGGUAGCAAACAGGAUUAGAUACCCUAGUAGUC
rnacentral:rRNA from 1 species